UCAGCGGCGAACGGGUGAGUAACACGUAUGUGACCUGCCCCGAAGACGGGGAUAACGUUCUGGAAACAGAGGCUAAUACUCGAUGCACUCAAUAGUUCGUACUAUUGAGUAAAGCUUAGGCGCUUUGGGAUGGGCCUGCGGUCCAUCAGCUAGUUGGUAGGGUAAUGGCCUACCAAGGCGAAGACGGAUAGGGGGCGUGAGAGCGCGACCCCCCACACUGGCACUGAGACACAGGCCAGACUCCUACGGGAGGCAGCAGUGAGGGAUAUUGCGCAAUGGACGGAAGUCUGACGCAGCGACGCCGCGUGGGUGAUGAAUGCCUUCGGGUUGUAAAGCCCUUUUAUGGGGGAAGAGAAAGGACGGUACCCCAUGAAUAAGCCCCGGCUAACUACGUGCCAUCAGCCGCGGUAAAACGUAUGGGGCAAGCGUUAUCCGGAUUUACUGGGCGUAAAGAGCGUUGAGGCGGUUCUGUAAGUUGGGCGUGAAAGCCCCGGUGCUCACCCGGGGAUGUCGUUCAAUACUGCAUGGCUUGAUGGCAGCAGAGGGAGAUGGAAUUCCCGGUGUACCGCUGAAAUGCGUUGAAAUCGGGAGGAACACCAGUGUCGAAGACGGCCUCCUGGGCUGUUCCUGACGCUGAAGGCGAAAGCUAGGUUAGCGAACGGGAUUAGAAACCCCGGUAGUCCUAGCUGUAAACGAUGGAUGCUAGAUGUAGGGGGUAUAGAUUCCCUCUGUGUCGCAGUUAACGCGUUAAGCAUCCCGCCUGGGGAGUACGGUCGCAAGGCUAAAACUCAAACGAAUUGACGGGGGCCCGCACAAGCAGCGGAGCGUGUGGUUUAAUUCGAUGCUACACGAAGAACCUUACCUGGGCUUGACAUGUAUGUGGUAGUGAAGUGAAAGCGGAUCGACCCUUAGGGGAGCAUACACAGGUGCUGCAUGGCUGUCGUCAGCUCGUGCCGUGAGGUGUCGGGUUAAGUCCCGUAACGAGCGCAACCCCUGUCCUUAGUUACAAGUGUCUAGGGAGACUGCCGGCGGUAAGCCGGAGGAAGGUGGGGAUGACGUCAAGUCAGCAUGGCCUUUAUGUCCAGGGCUACACACACGCUACAAUGGCCGGUACAAUGGGUUGCCAAACCGUGAGGUGGAGCCAAUCCCGUAAAGCCGGUCUCAGUUCGAAUUGUAGACUGCAACUCGUCUACAUGAAGUCGGAGUUGCUAGUAAUCGCGGAUCAGCAUGCCGCGGUGAUAUGUUCCCGGGCGUUGUACACACCGCCCGUCACGUCAUGGAAGCUGGCUACACCUGAAGCCGGUGAGCCAACCCGAAAGGGAGGUAGCUGUCGAAGGUGGGGC
rnacentral:rRNA from 1 species